AUGAACGAAAUAAUGUACUCUUCUGAGAAGGAAGGUGGGAAUGAAAGACCAGCUCACUUCAUGAAAGCGUUCAGAGACGUAGUGGAUGAGUGUAACUUAUCAGAUCAUGCAUUAAUCGGUGAUAAAUUUACUUGGCAUCGUGCCCUUAUUAGAGAAUGGUUAGAUUGUGCUCUUGUAAAUGAUGGAUGAAAUUUGAUGUUUCCAGGGGCAGUCUUAGAACAUUUGGAUUUUUACAAGUCGGAUCAUAGGCCGAUUAUUAUGAACAUGCAUGAAGAGAUCUCUCAGGAUUCUGCGCAACAGUCGGUCCUUCGAUUUGAAGCCCGUUGGCUAAAGGAGGAUAAAUUUCGUGAGGUUGUCGAGCAAGCUUGGCAGUGUUCUAAAUAUGUUGAAGGUACAUCUAAUCUUGCCGAAAGGCUUGCUGCUAUCCACAAGGAGCUACAUAAAUGGGACAUAACUAUUUUGAAGAAACCCUCGAAAAAUAUAAAAAAAUGUUCAACCAGAACUGGAGAAAGUUGCGAGGGACUCUCUAUCUCCGCAGAAUGUUUAGAGGCAGAAGGUUCUAGCUGUAGAGCUUGA
rnacentral:rRNA from 1 species